GAUGAACGCUGGCGGCGUGCCUAAUACAUGCAAGUCGAGCGAACAGACGAGGAGCUUGCUCCUCUGACGUUAGCGGCGGACGGGUGAGUAACACGUGUAUAACCUACCUAUAAUACUGGUAUAACUUCGGGAAACCGGCGCUAAUACCGGAUAACAUGUUGAUCCGCAUGGUUCAAUAGUGAAAUACGGUUUUGCUGUCACUUAUAGAUGGAUCCGGGCCGCAUUAGCUAGUUGGUAAGGUAACGGGCUACCACGGCUACGAUGCCUAGCCGACCGCAGAGAGUGAUAGGCGACACGGGAGGGGAAACACGGUCCAUACGACUAAGAGAGGGAGCAGAAGGGAAGCGGCCGCAGUAGGCGGGAGCCUGACGGAGCAACGCGGAGUGAGAGAAAAAGAUGUUCGGAUCGGAAAACUCGGUUAUUAGGGAAGAACAAAUGUGUAAGUAACUAUGCACGGCGUGACGGUACCUAGUCAGAAAGCCACGGCUAACUACGUG
rnacentral:rRNA from 1 species